rnacentral:tRNA from 1 species
GAAAAGAUUUAGAAAACAGAAACUG